rnacentral:rRNA from 1 species
GACAGAGGUCCCAAGCGUUAGGCGGAAUCACUGGGCGUAAAGGGUGCGUAGGCGGGUCUUUAAGUCAGGGGUGAAAUCCUGGAGCUCAACUCCAGAACUGCCUUUGAUACUGAAGAUCUUGAGUUCGGGAGAGGUGAGUGGAACUGCGAGUGUAGAGGUGAAAUUCGUAGAUAUUCGCAAGAACACCAGUGGCGAAGGCGGCUCACUGGCCCGAUACUGACGCUGAGGCACGAAAGCGUGGGGAGCAAACAGG